rnacentral:rRNA from 1 species
GACGGGGCCCGCACAAGCGGUGGAGCAUGUGGUUAAUUCGAUGAUACGCGAGGAACCUUACCUGGGCUCAAAUGUAUGUUGACGUAUUCUGAAAGGGAUACUUCUUCGGACAAUAUACAAGGUGCUGCAUGGUUGUCGUCAGCUCGUGCCGUGAGGUGUCGGGUUAAGUCCCAUAACGAGCGCAACCCCUAUCAUUAGUUGCCAUCAGGUCAAGCUGGGGACUCUAAUGAAACUGCCUACGCAAGUAGUGAGGAAGGUGGGGAUGACGUCAAAUCAGCACGGCCCUUACGUCCAGGGCUACACACGUGCUACAAUGGCCGGUACAAAGGGCAGCUACCUGGUGACAGGAUGCUAAUCUCAAAAGCCGGUCUCAGUUCGGAUCGGAGUCUGCAACCCGACUCCGUGAAGCUGGAAUCGCUAGUAAUCGUGGAUCAGCAUGCCACGGUGAAUACGUUCCCGGGCCUU